AUUGAACGCUGGCGGCAGGCUUAACACAUGCAAGUCGAGCGGGGGCUUCGGUCCUAGCGGCGAACGGGUGAGGAAUGCCUGGGAAUCUGCCUGGUAGUGGGGGAUAACGAUUCGAAAGGGUCGCUAAUACCGCAUACGUCCUACGGGAGAAAGCAGGGGACCUUCGGGCCUUGCGCUAUCAGAUGAGCCCAGGUCGGAUUAGCUAGUAGGUGGGGUAAAGGCUCACCUAGGCGACGAUCCGUAGCUGGUCUGAGAGGAUGAUCAGCCACACUGGAACUGAGACACGGUCCAGACUCCUACGGGAGGCAGCAGUGGGGAAUAUUGGACAAUGGGCGAAAGCCUGAUCCAGCCAUGCCGCGUGUGUGAAGAAGGCCUCGGUUGGUAAAGGUAC
rnacentral:rRNA from 1 species